rnacentral:rRNA from 1 species
AUACGUAGGGGGCGAGCGUUGUCCGGAGUUACUGGGCGUAAAGGGCGCGCAGGCGGCCAUUCAAGUCAUGGGUGAAAUACCGGGGCUUAACCUCGGGGGUGCCUGUGAAACUGGGUGGCUUGAGGGCCGGAGAGGACAGUGGAAUUCCCGGUGUAGCGGUGAUAUGCGUAGAGAUCGGGAGGAACACCAGUGGCGAAGGCGACUGUCUGGACGGCACCUGACGCUCAGGCGCGAAAGCCCGGGGAGCAAGCGGGAUUAGAUACCCCGGUAGUCCGGGCCGUAAACGAUGAGUGCUAGGUGUGGCGGGUAUCGACCCCCGCCGUGCCGGAGUUAACGCAAUAAGCACUCCGCCUGGGGAGUACGGCCGCAAGGCUGAA